rnacentral:rRNA from 1 species
AGUCGAGGGGUAUGGUUCUUCGGAACCAGAGACCGGCGCACGGGUGCGUAACGCGUAUGCAAUCUGCCUUUCACAGAGGGAUAGCCCAGAGAAAUUUGGAUUAAUACCUCAUAGUAUAGCGACAUCGCAUGAUGAUGCUAUUAAAGUCACAACGGUGAAAGAUGAGCAUGCGUCCCAUUAGCUAGUUGGUAAGGUAACGGCUUACCAAGGCAACGAUGGGUAGGGGUCCUGAGAGGGAGAUCCCCCACACUGGUACUGAGACACGGACCAGACUCCUACGGGAGGCAGCAGUGAGGAAUAUUGGUCAAUGGGCGCAAGCCUGAACCAGCCAUGCCGCGUGCAGGAUGACGGUCCUAUGGAUUGUAAACUGCUUUUGCACAGGAAGAAACACUGAUUCGUGAAUCAGCUUGACGGUACUGUGAGAAUAAGGAUCGGCUAACUCCGUGCCAGCAGCCGCGGUAAUACGGAGGAUCCAAGCGUUAUCCGGAAUCAUUGGGUUUAAAGGGUCCGUAGGCGGUCUGGUAAGUCAGUGGUGAAAGCCCAUCGCUCAACGGUGGAACGGCCAUUGAUACUGCUGGACUUGAAUUAUUAGGAAGUAACUAGAAUAUGUAGUGUAGCGGUGAAAUGCUUAGAGAUUACAUGGAAUACCAAUUGCGAAGGCAGGUUACUACUAAUGGAUUGACGCUGAUGGACGAAAGCGUGGGUAGCGAACAGGAUUAGAUACCCUGGUAGUCCACGCCGUAAACGAUGGAUACUAGCUGUUGGAAGCAAUUUCAGUGGCUAAGCGAAAGUGAUAAGUAUCCCACCUG